UUGACUGAUCAGGACUCCUCAGUUCACCUUCUCACAAUGAGGCUCCCUGCUCAGCUCCUGGGGCUGCUAAUGCUCUGGGUCUCUGGAUCCAGUGGGGAUAUUGUGAUGACUCAGUCUCCACUCUCCCUGCCCGUCACCCCUGGAGAGCCGGCCUCCAUCUCCUGCAGGUUCAGUGGCAGUGGAUCAGGCACAGAUUUUACACUGAAAAUCAGCAGAGUGGAGGCUGAGGAUGUUGGGGUUUAUUACUGCAUGCAAGCUCUACAAACUCCU
rnacentral:lncRNA from 1 species